AUUGAACGCUGGCGGCAGGCCUAACACAUGCAAGUCGAGCGAGCGGCGGACGGGUGAGUAAUGUCUGGGAAACUGCCUGAUGGAGGGGGAUAACUACUGGAAACGGUAGCUAAUACCGCAUACCAUCAGAUGUGCCCCUAUGGGAUUAGCUAGUAGGUGGGGUAAAGGCUCACCUAGGCGACGAUCCCUAGCUGGUCUGAGAGGAUGAUCAUCCAGACUGGAACGGAGACACGGUCCAGACUCGUACGGGAGGCAGCAGUGGGGAAUAUGGAACAAUGGGGGCAAGCCUGAUGCAGCCAUGCCGCGUGUAUGAAGAAGGCCUUAGGGUUGUAAAGCACUUUCAGCGAGGAGGCGUUAUGAGCAGAAGAAGCACCGGCUAACUCCGUGCCAGCAGCCGCGGUAAUAC
rnacentral:rRNA from 1 species